CUGUAUUCUCUGCCAAAUCUCUCCAGUGGAACCCUGGUGCCAUGCUGGGAACUUCCGGUGCUUCCUCCAGACACAACCAAAGAUUAUACACAUUUCUUGGUCUUUGCCAGAUCUCAGAAGCUCAGCAAGAAGAAGCAAGACAAAUGCGAAGAAAAAUGCUAUUGUCAAACUGAAGAAAUCCAGAGUAAUUCUUUAGAGAGGCCAGAGGAAAAAAAGACACAUCACAACCAGGGAAACCUAAGUGCUCAGCAGACACGAUGGAGGCCACAACACAAUGGAUGACUUUUUAAAAAACAAACAAAAACCAAAAGGCAAAUGGUCAACCCAGACUUCUGCAUUUGGCAAAAAAAUAUCCUAAG